rnacentral:rRNA from 1 species
GUAGAAUUCCAGGUGUAGCGGUGAAAUGCGUAGAGAUCUGGAGGAAUACCGGUGGCGAAGGCGGCCCCCUGGACGAAGACUGACGCUCAGGUGCGAAAGCGUGGGGAGCAAACAGGAUUAGAUACCCUGGUAGUCCACGCCGUAAACGAUGUCGACUUGGAGGUUGUGCCCUUGAGGCGUGGCUUCCGGAGCUAACGCGUUAAGUCGACCGCCUGGGGAGUACGGCCGCAAGGUUAAAACUCAAAUGAAUUGACGGGGGCCCGCACAAGCGGUGGAGCAUGUGGUUUAAUUCGAUGCAACGCGAAGAACC